GCAGGUAUAAUUUAGUGGUAAAAUACGGCCUUGCCAAGGCUGAUUCGCGGGUUCAAUUCCCGCUACCUGCUCCA
rnacentral:tRNA from 1 species